rnacentral:rRNA from 1 species
AGUGAACGCUGGCGGUAGGCCUAACACAUGCAAGUCGAACGGAAGCACAGUAAGAGCUUGCUCUUACGGGUGGCGAGUGGCGGACGGGUGAGGAAUAUAUCGGAAUCUACUUUUUCGUGGGGGAUAACGUAGGGACACUUACGCUAAUACCGCAUACGACCUACGGGUGAAAGCAGGGGAUCUUAGGACCUUGCGCGAUUGAAUGAGCCGAUGUCGGAUUAGCUAGUUGGCGGGGUAAAGGCCCACCAAGGCGACGAUCCGUAGCUGGUCUGAGAGGAUGAUCAGCCACACUGGAACUGAGACACGGUCCAGACUCCUACGGGAGGCAGCAGUGGGGAAUAUUGGACAAUGGGCGCAAGCCUGAUCCAGCCAUACCGCGUGGGUGAAGAAGGCCUUCGGGUUGUAAAGCCCUUUUGUUGGGAAAGAAAAGCAGCAGGUUAAUACCCCGCUGUUCUGACGGUACCCAAAGAAUAAGCACCGGCUAACUUCGUG